GCCCCACUGGACUUCAUUUGAGUGGCUAACUCUCAGAAACCAAUCCUUCCAUCCCACGAUAGGACUGGGCCAGGAACGAAAGGUAUCCUUCCACAGAUCUAGAGAAAAGUUCUCGCCUCUAAAGGGGAUUCUGUUUGUUUCUGUGUUGAUUAAAUCGGUGGGAUCUGGGUUCCCUAACGGACCAAGAUAUUGAAGAUGUGG
rnacentral:lncRNA from 1 species